CACAUAGAGAGUUUGAUACUGGCUCAAGAUGAACGCUGGUGGCAUGCUUAAGACAUGCAAGUCGGAUGGGAAACACGGGAAAUGGUGUUUCCAGUGGUGGACGGGUGAGUAAUGCAUAAGAACAUGCCCUUGAGAGGGGAACAACAGCUGGAAGCGGCAGCUAAAACCCCGUAGGCUGAGGAGAAAAAGGAGGAAUCUGCUCGAGGAGGGUCUCGCAUCUAAUUAGCUAGUUCGUGAGGCAAUAGCUUACCAAGGCGAUGAUCAGUAACUGGUCUGAGAGGAUGAUCAUCCACACUAGGACUGAGACACGGCUCAGACUCCUACAGGAGGCAGCAGUGGGGAAUUUUCCGCAAUGGGCAAGAGCCUGACGGAGCAAUGCCGCGUGGAGGUAGAAGGCCCACAGGUCAUGAACUUUUUUCUCGGAGUUGGGAAAUAAGCAUCGGCUAACUCUGUGCCAGCAGCCGCGGUAAUACAGACGAUGCAAGCGUUAUCUAGAAUGAUAGGGCAUAAAGCGUCUGUAGGUGGAUUAUUAAGUCCGCCUCAAAUCCCAGGGCUCAAACCUGGACAGGAGGUAGAAACUACCAAGCUGGAGUAUGAUAGGGGUAGAGGGAAUUUUUGGUGGAGCGGUGAAAUACGUAGAGAUCAAAAAGAACACCAAAAGUGAAGCACUCUACUGCGCCGACACUGACAAUGAGAGAUGAAAGCUAGGGGGCAAAUGGGAUUAGAUGCCCCAGUAGUCCUAGCCGUAAAUGAUGGAUACUAGGCGUUGUGCGUAUCGACUGAUGCAGUACUGUAGCUAAUGCAUUAAGUAUCCCUCCUGGGGAGUACGUUCGCAAGAAUGAAACUCAAAGGUAUUGAUGGGCGCCCGCACACGCGGUGGAGCAUGUGGUUUAAUUUGAUGCAAAGCGAAGAACCUUAGCAAGGCUUGACAUAUCGUGAAUCCUCUUGAAAGAGAAGGGUAACUUGGGGAAUGCGGACACAGGUAGUGCAUGGUUGUUGUCAGCUUGUGCCGUAAGGUGUUGGGUUAAGUCCUUCAAUGAGCGUAACCCUCGUGUUUAGUUUCCAUCAUUGAGUUUGGAACCCUGAACAGACUGCCGGUGAUAAGCUGGAGAAAGGUGGGGAUGACGUCAAGUCAUCAUGCCCCUUAUGCCCUAGGCGACGCACGUCCUACAAUGGCUGGGACAAAGGGUAACGAUCCCGAGAGGGUGAGAUAACACUAAAAACCCAUCCUCAAUUUGGAUUACAGGCUGUAACUCGCCUGCAUAAAGCUGGAAUCGCUAGUAAUCGUUGGUCAGCCGUACGGUGAUGAAUUCACUCCCGAGCCUUGUACACACCGCCCGUCACACUAUGGGAGCUGGCCAUGCCCAAAGUCGUUACCUUAACCACAAGGAGGGGGAUGCCAAAAGCAGGGCUAGUGACUGAAGUAAGGUCGUAACAAGGUAGCCAUACUAGAAGAUGCGGCUGGAUUACCUCCUUU
rfam:Capsicum annuum cultivar Zunla-1 chromosome 3, whole genome shotgun sequence